CCUACGGGUGGCAGCAGUGAGGAAUAUUGGUCAAUGGACGAAAGUCUGAACCAGCCAUGCCGCGUGCAGGAAGACGGCUCUAUGAGUUGUAAACUGCUUUUGUACGAGGAUAAACGCAGAUACGUGUAUCUGUCUGAAAGUAUCGUACGAAUAAGGAUCGGCUAACUCCGUGCCAGCAGCCGCGGUAAUACGGAGGAUUCAAGCGUUAUCCGGAUUUAUUGGGUUUAAAGGGUGCGUAGGCGGGCGGAUAAGUUAGAUGUGAAAUCCCGGGGCUCAACUUCGGAAUUGCAGCUGAUACUGGUCGGCUAGAGAGUAGUUGCGGUAGGCGGAAUGUAUGGUGUAGCGGUGAAAUGCUUAGAGAUCAUACAGAACACCGAUUGCGAAGGCAGCUUAC
rnacentral:rRNA from 1 species